GAUGAAGAACGUAGCGAAAUGCGAUAAGUAAUGUGAAUUGCAGAAUUCAGUGAAUCAUCGAAUCUUUGAACGCACAUUGCGCCCGCCAGUAUUCUGGCGGGCAUGCCUGUUCGAGCGUCAUUUCAACCAUCAAGCCCCCGGGCUUGUGUUGGGGACCUGCGGCUGCCGCAGGCCCUGAGAAGCAGUGGCGGACUCGCUGUCACACCGAGCGUAGUAGAUUUUAUCUCGCUCUGGGCGUGCUGCGGGUUCCGGCCGUUAAACCACCCUUUUAACCCAAGGUUGACCUCGGAUCAGGUAGGAAGACCCGCUGAACUUAAGCAUAUCAAUAAGCGGAGGA
rnacentral:misc_RNA from 1 species